UACGGGGGGGGCAAGCGUUGUUCGGAAUUACUGGGCGUAAAGGGCUCGUAGGUGGCCAACUAAGUCAGACGUGAAAUCCCUCGGCUUAACCGGGGAACUGCGUCUGAUACUGGAUGGCUUGAGUUCGGGAGAGGGAUGCGGAAUUCCAGGUGUAGCGGUGAAAUGCGCAGAAUAUCAGGAGGAACACCAACGGCGAAGGCAGGCACUCGUGGGCCGGAUA
rnacentral:rRNA from 1 species